GAAGGUCGACCUUCCAGAGUAGAGAAGGCUACAGCGCCCUUUGUCAAGGGUGAUAUAUCGGAAUAUUCCGAAGUACACAGAACCCUGGUGUCGUCCCCUUUCACUGUCUCCUUCGAAUCUGAUGCCCCAACUCUCUGGACGUGGCGACUCGAAGAGCACUCGGACAGUCGAAAUAAGGAGCAUCGAAGUGAUCGAGGAAGAAACGAAUUCUACGCCAUUGCAUGUUUCCUGCAGUGACAUCUAUUUUAAAGAAAAUCAAGAAAAAAGGGGAAGAAGCCUAGAUAAGUGUGCUUCAAAUUGCUUCACGUGUGUUCUACAGUGUUUCUAUUAAUCGAAUUGAAAUUUAUUAUAUUUGAAGGAAAGUUGACAUUGAAUUUGUGAAGAAGGCACGAAGAUCUACGCCAUUGCAAUUCUCCACUGUGAAACCAGCGGGGUGCAAGUGUCUGAUUCUUUCGUAACUGAACAUGUGGCGCGCAGACAGAGAUUCUAUACACUUUCCAUUUUUAAGAAGGUUCUACUAUUAUCCAGAUUCUUCGAGCUUUUAAACCAGUUACUCAAUGUUAAGUAUUUUUUAAUAGUAAACGAUCGUUUCACGUUAAAAAUUCGAUGAUAAUUCCAACAGGAUUCAACGCGAGAAAAUUGUUCACGACUCCGAAGUAGAGUUGAGAUGAUUAUUUGCUAACGGCACACGCUAUUAGCAGAUUCGAAAGAUGCAACGUUAGCAAUCUUCGAAGUAAGAUUAGGUUCCUCAUAGUGAUUAAUUCUACUGUAUUGUUUAUACGUAGAUAACGACUUUUUAGUAUUUGCAAUUUAUUAGGUGUAGAAAUUAAUUCUGUGCGUUUACAAUUACACAUAAUUAUAGUUUAAGUAAAAAUAUUUAGAACAAUGAAUUAAUUGAUUUUAAAUUGCACAGAAGAAGACUGUAUUUUUUUCAGAUACAAAAUAUUAUAUCAAGCUCUGCUAGAGUUAUAAUACUUGACAUUGGUUAAAACAUUCUCCUAAGGUAUAUAAGAUGCAGGGAAAAUUUUUUAAAAAUUAAAUAAAUAUUAAAGACAAUUUUAUUUAACUAAUCGAGAGUAACAGAUUGCUCGAAGAAAUCAGUUGAAAAAUAAAAUAUUCACGCUGGAGUUCGUGGCUCGCUUGUAUUUCUUCAUCGUUCGUGUUCAGAGAGUUAUCUCAUCGCGCACGCAUCCUGAUUGAUAAGGAAGUAAAAUGGAAAAAGAAGACCAGAGGGGGAUGGGAGAAAGAGAGCGACAAACAUUGAGGACGUGUUAAAAGUUCAUCGCUGGUACCGAUGAAUGAAUCUCCCUUUAUCUAUGGUUGUGAGAUUCGUCGAGCAUAUCUAUUCUAAUUUCGCGAAGAAUGAACUCGAUCGUUGUCAUCCAAACAAAAUUACAAAACUUAGAUUACAGAGAAACCAGUGCAAGCAGCAGUGAAUUAAAAUUUUGUGGACCUUUGGGCUACAGGUACAGUGUUUACACAUGUAAUCAAAGUUUAAUAUACUUUGUUAAUUAUUAAUAUAAAGGUACCGAAUUGAAUUUUUUUUUAAAUAAAUAAUUAAGAAUAUAUAUCAGGUGUAAAGAUUAAUUCUCUGGCUCUAUAUUCAGUUAUUUAUAAUUCUCCUUAAACUAAAGUUAUAAAUAAUUCAAUAUACAUUCACAGAAUUAAUGUCUACGCCUAAUAUUUAUACUCUGGUUCAACAUUCCUAAUCAAAAUCUCUGGAGACUUCCCAGUUAACGAGGGGCCCUCAGACUGUAAUCCCUAAGGUCAACAUCUUAAUUCGACCCUGAGAGCAAGUAAACACGAGUUAUCUUUGAUUUGCUGUAUUGAUAAUUGCAUCGUACCUAAGUGAAGAGUGAGAUUAACUUGGUUCGGAUAUUCGAUUCCCUCGAACAUUGUUUCCGACUGCCACCAGGUCGCGUUGUCGUUAUUAUCGUGAUCGGUAAGGAAUGUGGCCGGAUGGUCGCCAAAUCGACAUAUCUCGCAGGACUUCUUUUGGACGCCCGUCUGUUUACAAAAUUCUGUCGGUCGGUCCUGACCGCACGUGUUCGUCGCUUCCAUGGGCACAUUGAAAGCUGCAUUCUCGAAAGGCGGGGGAAGACCACAUUAGGAGUCCAUGUGUUAAGUGUUUCUUUGGAUAUUAUUUUUUAUAGAGAAGAAUUUAUGUAAUAUGUAUGUAAGCGUCAAAGUCAUUUGCAAAGGUGCAAAGUGACACUAUAGCAAGUACAAAGGAUUACUAUAGGACCAUCGCAAGUGGGGAUCAGUUGUGUUCAACUAUUCAUUGUUUCAGAAAUUAUUUUCACUGGAAAAUUCUUUAGUGGUAGCUGAAGGUCUCUAGAUGGCACUGUUUUUUACAGGAUUUCGGGGAAUUGCGAUUCAUUGUAACUAAUUGUAAGAUUAACCACACUAAAAAAAGUUCAAAAUUAAAGUAGAAUUCUAAAUAUGGAUUAAAGCGCUAUUAGUCUUAUUAUUUUGUUUGCAGUGUAAAUGUAAUUGUGGUAUACGUUAUGUAAAUCAAAAUUUGUAUAUGAUAUUUCCUUGAAAUUUUGAAGCACGAAAUUAUACAUAAACUUUAAGUGAAAUUGAUCAGUCAAAUACUCUCCAAGUUCGUUGUUAGAAAAUAAAACAAAGACAAAGAGAGUGCUGCUUUAAUUUUUUAAUUUUCGAAAUACUUUCACGCUUGGAACGUCUGUCUAGCUUUAUCUUCCUACGCCUAUCGUUGAAACACGAUGUUAUUUCGAACCUCGCUUUGAUAACCUAAUGUAGUAAUAUUCUACAAAUAAAAACCGUAACUGCGAUGACUAAGAAUAAACAGGAGCCUGUUCAUGAUGGGCUGGUAGACAAAGACAGAUAGAGUACCACAGUUUUCUUUCUCUUUUUAGGUGUGGUACAGUUAGAGGCCUGUCUUCCUUACUCUCUUUAUAUCUUUUUGAUUGUAUAACAAUUAACG